AACGAACGCUGGCGGCAGGCCUAACACAUGCAAGUCGAGCGAGGACUUCGGUUCUAGCGGCGGACGGGUGAGUAACGCGUGGGAAUGUGCCCUUCUCUACGGAAUAGCCCUGGGAAACUGGGAGUAAUACCGUAUACGCCCUUUUGGGGAAAGAUUUAUCGGAGAAGGAUCAGCCCGCGUUGGAUUAGGUAGUUGGUGGGGUAAUGGCCUACCAAGCCGACGAUCCAUAGCUGGUUUGAGAGGAUGAUCAGCCACACUGGGACUGAGACACGGCCCAGACUCCUACGGGAGGCAGCAGUGGGGAAUCUUAGACAAUGGGGGCAACCCUGAUCUAGCCAUGCCGCGUGAGUGAUGAAGGCCUUAGGGUUGUAAAGCUCUUUCAGCUGGGAAGAUAACGACGGUACCAGCAGAAGAAGCCCCGGCUAACUCCGUG
rnacentral:rRNA from 1 species